UGAACCUUUGUCUCCCGCCACCCCCGAAAAGCUGUCCAACAACAUGGAAAACUUAUCGGAUUCGGAUCUUCAGACGUUGUUGCAGAACUUCAAAGAUCUCUCCACCGACGAGCAAAUGAAUUUGAUCAAUUACCUGAAGAAAUUGGAAUUGGACGAACCAGAACGCGUAGAAAGAUUGAGGAAGUUUGUGAAUUUGGGUUCGGAUAAA